UCUGGAAGGAGGCUCCACUCCUGCCACGGUGCGGCAUUCCCUGGCUGCUGGGAGCUGGGCUGCUGCCGGCUAGCCCCCUCUCCUGGACGCAGUUGCCAUGAGCUGACUCUUUGGAAGACAAUGAAAGCCAUAAAACCUGGUUUGGGAGUAAACUUUCCCCUUGUUUGAGAUCAGGACUUUGAAGCGAGGAUGCAGUGCUCCAUGCAGUGGUCGGGAGGCUCUCCACCCUCGGUCCUGAACAUGGUGGAAGGGACCAGCUGGACCCAUGGGCUGCCUGGCUUCGGUGAGCAGGGCCUCAGACUGACAGGAGACUGCAGGGAGUCCAGAGAACACAGCCAGGAUGGCAGAGAAACUCCCCAGCUGGAAAGGCACAAUCUGAAGAUGAAGGCAUGGAGACAGCGCUGAGGAGUGAGAGGGGGUGAAGUGCAAAUUAUUCCUUCUGUGGAAGUGCAAAAUAGCCAAGUGGUGACGGGAACUUGGCAACGACGGAGUGGGAUGAGUCAGGAACAGCUUUUUGAGGUAGGAGAGCGGUUCUGGGGCGCUGAGUG
rnacentral:lncRNA from 1 species